rnacentral:rRNA from 1 species
ACGCUUGAAGUCAGUCGCGUCUGCUAGAAAUCAGCCUUGCUUUUGCUUGGUGUACUUUCUGGUUUUGACGGGUCAGCAUCAAUUUCGAUUGUCGGAUAAAGUCGUUGGGAAUGUGGCAUCUUUGGAUGUGUUAUAGCCCUUCGUCGCAUACGGUGAUUGGGAUUGAGGAACUCAGCACGCCGCAAGGCCGGGUCUUUUUUGACCACGACUCGUGCUUAGGAUGCUGGCAUAAUGGCUUUAAUCGACCCGUCUUGAAACACGGACCAAGGAGUC